rnacentral:lncRNA from 1 species
AGGCAAUAACUUCUACUUUAUUCUUAUUCAUAAAAAAAAAAUAUCUAUAUAUUUUAUUCAGUGAAAGUAAAUAGUCAGAUCCCUAGACCUCAACCAUAAAAUAGUUACAAUACAAUGAGAAUACAUGGAAGUAUAUCUUGUGAAAAGCUGUAUCAGAGGUUCUGCCCCCAUAACUGCCCUACUCACUUUUUGCCAUCUGGGGGAUAGUCAACAUUUGAUCCUCCUCUCCAACUCCCCCCACUCAGAAAGUACCUACAUGAUACUAUUGGAUUCAUUGCCUUUUUCUCCUUUCUGUACAAUCUUUAGUCUUUGCCUUCUUAGGAGAGGGCAGGGCCAACAUCCUGUCCAGUGCCAUACUGCAUUUCCCACUCACAUACAUAGAUACAUAUAUAUAUACAUAUAUAUAUAUAUAUAUAUAUAUAUAUAUAUAUAUAUAUAUAUAUAUAUAUAUAUAUAUAUAUAUAUAUAUAUAUAAUAUACAUACUCCCAGCAAUGAAGUAAACAACAGAGCAUCUUCCCAAUAAGUACUGCUAAAACUGAACCAAGGCAGCAUUCCAUGGUAUGGAACAGGACACCCACAUGAAUUAAGGGGGAAUAAUGAUGCUAAUAAAACCGUAUCAACC